GAUGAACGCUGGCGGCGUGCCUAAUACAUGCAAGUCGAGCGAACGGACGAGAAGCUUGCUUCUCUGAUGUUAGCGGCGGACGGGUGAGUAACACGUGGAUAACCUACCUAUAAGACUGGGAUAACUUCGGGAAACCGGAGCUAAUACCGGAUGAUAUUUUGAACCGCAUGGUUCAAAAGUGAAAGACGGUCUUGCUGUCACUUAUAGAUGGAUCCGCGCUGCAUUAGCUAGUUGGUAAGGUAACGGCUUACCAAGGCAACGAUGCAUAGCCGACCUGAGAGGGGGAUCGCCCACAUUGGAACUGAGCCCCGGUCCAGACUCCUACGGGAGGCAGCAGUCGGGAAUCUUCCGCAAUGGGCGAAAGCCUGACGGAGCAACGCCGCGUGAGUGAUGAAGGUCUUCGGAUCGUAAAACUCUGUUAUUAGGGAAGAACAUAUGUGUAAGUAACUGUGCACAUCUUGACGGUACCUAAUCAGAAAGCCACGGCUAACUACGUG
rnacentral:rRNA from 1 species